CGUGGUGGGCCAUGUAGAAAUCUAGCACCCUUAAUCACCAUGCUACCUGCCAACCCCUUUGGGUAUUCUUUAAUUUAGGAAGGCUGGUGUUCUUUUCCAGGUCCUCAGUGCUGAGCAUGCUACAUGGUUUUUUUUUUUUUAAAAAAAAGAUGGCCUCCCUUUCAGAAUCCUUCUUUCAAGCUUUCUGUUUAACACAUUCUUCCUUUUCCAAAAUGACAGUUACAUGUGAGUAUUGAUUUUGCUCUUGAUUAUCCCAGCUAAGUAGAAACUUGUGAAACACAUGGUAAUCAUAAAAAUAAAACAUAACAAAACAAAUCAACAACAACAACAAAAAUUUCCUGUUAGGAAGUUCUAGUGGGUGGGCUUAGGAAUACCUUUCUUAUGGAGAAAGUGGUGCAAUUAUUUUCACCUCUGGGAGAAUGAAAAACUUCACAGUAGUCAACCAAGGGGAGGUGUGGAGGCAAUGGAAUUGCUGUCUCCCACCCCUAAUGUGGGAUAAGAUGUCUACACUCCGCUUUGCUCUCAAGUAUUAAUUCCCCUCUUUCUCCAAAGAGCAGCAAUGGCUGAGGGGACAUUGGCAUGCAAAUACUUGCAAAGUGAAAAUGGAUACACUUCCAUAGCUCCUCAUCUCUGGCCUCCGGAGGACAGUCUGCCAACCCUGCAUGCUUUUUGGUUUGGCACUGAGACAAAUGUUCCCUGGAGCAUAGACUGAAACCACCAAGUUGAUAUCACAUGGGACGUCGGCCAAAUUCUGACCUUGUUCUCUGUAGGGAUUUAAUUUAGCACACAGGGUGCUGAGUCUUCCAGUAAGCCACUUUGGUCAUUAUUUCCAACUUGAAGGAAUAAAGAGACAGCAGGGUACAGUGGAAAGAGUCGGGCCUGAAGCAAGAACGCCCCAGAUACUAGACCCUGCUCUGCUUCUAACCAGCAGUGAGACUCUGGUGGUGAGCCUGUUUCUUUAGCCCUUGGAUGAGACAUUUGGACAAGAAGAUUUCUAAUUUUUGCCCAUUUUGCCAUUCUCUUGACCCCACUGCUUAUAUGAAAUCCAUACUGGGUUAUUCCAGGGCCACUCUUCUUCUUUUGAAAAACUUUAUUGUUCAAUGAAUGAACAAGGUAUGAGAAGAGUUCCUAACCUAGAUUUCUCUGGUGCAGAAUGAGGGGAAAAUCUAUAUUUUAAAAUCAGUAUCCCGAGGCCGAUUGCCCAAAUAUAAAAUUCUGUAUCCUACCUUAAAAUGUGAAACAAUGUUUUCCACCAGAAUAAGAAAGUGGUCCAAGUGGCUUUUGUGGUUCUCUAAGAAUCGAAUUUCUACACUGUAGCAUAAGCACUUAUAAUUGUUUAAGUAAAAUUACUUGUGGAAGGAAAAGGUUAAAGUUGGCUACUGAUAUUCAUCAAGAGAUGGAUAUUUAAUCUUUAAUCUCUUGUCCUAGGCCUCUACUUUGGAUCAACUCAUUAUCCCGAAUAAACGAUGUGUCAUUCCCAUUAUUUAUGUUUCAGUGCAGCCAAAGUAUCUGGACCUCGUUUUAAUGGAGUAACCGAGAGACUACAAAGUGACAUCACCAGCAGGCGGUGACCUAAGGAGUCAGGGCCAGAGCCAGGUCUGGGAUCCAGACUUCCUGGCUGUUGACCCAGGUUCCCUUCUGCCAUGCAGCUUUCACCAGGAUGCUGGAGGGACCAGGGAAGUGUCUGUUUCGGGGCUCUCUCAGUUGCCCUUGGACGUUUAUCAUCUAUCAACUGAAUGUUGACUAAAAACACACUAAUUCCUGAGGAGCCCUUACAGGAUGUCCUGUUGAGACUUUUCCUCCUUUUUUGUCAGUGCUUUGCUGGCAGAUUAAAAUUCAGUGGACCCCAUUUGUAGGAAGUCUGAUAAAAUAUUCUCAUCUCUAUUG